rnacentral:snRNA from 1 species
GGAAGUGAAGGCCAUCUGGAUGUGACAUCUAUCACCCCGUUGAUCACCAGCGUUGAUUCAGCUGAUCAGGCUGGCUUAAGCAGGUGUCCCCUUCCUUCCUCACCACUCUAUAUGCGUCCCCCUGAAGCUGCGUCCUCCAUCAAAGAGGAUGACCUUCCCUGACAGAGGACCAUUCUUGGGUCAAGGGUAUAUGAGUAGCUGUGCUCUCCUGCUAGAACCAAACAAGCUCUCAGAGUCCAUUGGUAGGAGAAUGUAGGGUAGUCAAACUUCCAAGGCUCUGGACACAUCCAAAUGAGGUGCUGCAUGUGGCAGUCUACCUUUCUUU